UACUUCCUGAUUCGCUUAGGACCCUCGCCGGUGUAGGGAGGGAGCAGCUGGCACAGCCGCGGGACGUAGAAGCUCUUUACCUUCUCCGUGCACAGCUCGUAUUGUACACUACAGUCUCUGCAAGCCCAGAACGCCCCGCAUUUCAAACCACCUCCCCGCAACCCCUCGCAAAGGCUCUCUCCUAAGCAUUGUGCGUCAAAGCCCGGUUUUCUAAUUCUGCUCCUCCGCUUGAUUUUCUAGGAUCUUAAUCUGAGGUGUUGGGCAUCUCCACGCCCGUAAGUUGUACCCGGAGUUUUGAGUGCAGAGUUUGAGGGGGGGGCCGGGGCGGGAGCAGACUGUUUUCGUCAGAUAGCUAAAGAGAGGGCUCAGCAUUCCCGUCACAAACACCAGCCGAAUUCGCUCUGCGCGGGGCCCUGCAGGAGCCCUGGGGGACCCGCCAGCAGCACACAACGGCCUUCCUCCUUCCCCGGGCUCACAGUGUCCUGUGGGGCGGCGCGCAAUAAACUGCUCUGCAUUCGUCUUCCUGAGCCUAUGGUAAGCACCCAGAGGGAUUAUAGCUAGCAGGACAGAGAUGGUGUCCCUAACGAUGAGGCUUCAACUACACACCUCUCAGUGCUCUUGUCAGGCAGAUAAGCCACCAGAAAAGAGGCACUGUGCUCACUGUGGGGAUGACAGCCUGCGGCUCCGAGGCGGCAGGCCCAGCAUAGGCUGAGACAGCUAAGCACAGGCCAAGGUUUGUGCUGUGUGGGCUUCCAGGGAAGGAGAGGAAGAGGUUUUGUUGUUUAAAGAAAAAUUGGAAUCCUCCUGCUAUGGUUUGAAUGUGUCUCCUCCCCAACUCCUGCAAAACUUGGUGCUUCCUGUGGGAGUCCCCAGAGGCGGGGUCUGUGGGGAUGUAAUUAAGGCUGAACGCUCUGCCUUAUAAAAGGGCUGGAGGGAAAUAGUUUAUAGGCUACACCAUGAGUCCCCUCCAGAGGGUGCAGCAUGUCUAGGGCCACCUUGAAAGGGGGACUGAGCCCUCAUCAAACACCAAAGCUACCGGCAUCUGGGUCCUGGCCUUGCAGCCUCAAGAACUGUGAGAAAUACAUUUCUGUUCUCCCUGUACAAACCAGCCCCGGGGAGUUGCUUACAGCCACACGACUGCACUGAGACACCUACCAUAGGUACUAUUCUGCAUCCGAUUGUUCUAUUUUUGGCAGCAGUUAUUGAACAGAUACUUAUUGAGCAUCUACUCUAUGCCGAGAACUGUGCUUUCCAUUGGUCACAGAACAGUGAAAAAAGAAGACAUCGCCCCUCUCCAAGUGAAUGAACAUUGUGAUGGGGAAGGUGCUAUUAAAUAAAUUACACGCGUAAACAUGUAAUUUUCACAAAUGCUGUAAAAGGAUCAGGCGCCCUGUAAACACGGAAUAAAGAAAUGCCG